rnacentral:rRNA from 1 species
AUUGAACGCUGGCGGCAGGCCUAACACAUGCAAGUCGAGCGAGCGGCGGACGGGUGAGUAAUGUCUGGGAAACUGCCUGAUGGAGGGGGAUAACUACUGGAAACGGUAGCUAAUACCGCAUACCAUCAGAUGUGCCCAGAUGGGAUUAGCUAGUAGGUGGGGUAACGGCUCACCUGGGCGACGAUCCCUAGCAGGUCUGAGAGGAUGACCAGCCAAACUGGAACUGAGACACGGUCAGGACUCCUACGGGAGGAAGCAGUGGAGAAUAUUGCACAAUGAGCGCAAGCCUGAUGCAGCCAUGCCGGGUGUGUGAAAAAGGCCUACGGGUUGUAAAGCACUUUCAACGGGGAGGCGUUACCCGCAGAAGAAGCACCGGCUAACUCCGUGCCAGCGGACGCGGUAAUUC